rnacentral:rRNA from 1 species
GUAGGGUGCAAGCGUUGUCCGGAAUUACUGGGCGUAAAGAGCUCGUAGGUGGUUUGUCGCGUUGUUCGUGAAAACCUGAGGCUUAACCUUGGGCGUGCGGGCGAUACGGGCAGACUGGAGUACUGCAGGGGAGACUGGAAUUCCUGGUGUAGCGGUGGAAUGCGCAGAUAUCAGGAGGAACACCGGUGGCGAAGGCGGGUCUCUGGGCAGUAACUGACGCUGAGGAGCGAAAGCGUGGGGAGCGAACAGGAUUAGAUACCCUGGUAGUCCACGCCGUAAACGGUGGGUACUAGGUGUGGGUUUCCUUCCUUGGGAUCCGUGCCGUAGCUAACGCAUUAAGUACCCCGCCUGGGGAGUACGGCCGCAAGGCUAAAACUCAAAGAAAUUGACGGGGGCCCGCACAAGCGGCGGAGCAUGUGGAUUAAUUCGAUGCAACGCGAAGAACCUUACCUGGGUUUGACAUGCACAGGACGACUGCAGAGAUGUGGUUUCCCUUGUGGCCUGUGUGCAGGUGGUGCAUGGCUGUCGUCAGCUCGUGUCGUGAGAUGUUGGGUUAAGUCCCGCAACGAGCGCAACCCUUAUCUUAUGUUGCCAGCGCGUAAUGGCGGGGACUCGUGAGAGACUGCCGGGGUCAACUCGGAGGAAGGUGGGGAUGACGUCAAGUCAUCAUGCCCCUUAUGUCCAGGGCUUCACACAUGCUACAAUGGUCGGUACAAAGGGCUGCGAUGCCGUGAGGUGGAGCGAAUCCUUUUUAAAGCCGGUCUCAGUUCGGAUCGGGGUCUGCAACUCGACCCCGUGAAGUCGGAGUCGCUAGUAAUCGCAGAUCAGCAACGCUGCGGUGAAUACGUUCCCGGGCCUU